AUUCCUAAGGAACAAUUUUUCUUUACCGAAUUCGUCGAGGUCUUCACGCAUCUCGAGGAGAAUUCGGUUGGCUUCUUUCGGUGAGAAGAGUUUGUCCAGGUAAGCGUCAAGAGCCACAGUGUUAAUUUCUUUGGCACUGAAGACGAGCGACUCGAAAGUAACUCGCUGCUCGUGCAUCUCCUUCCUUCCAACUCUCUCAAAUGUGUCUGAAUCUGAAAGCGGCAAUUCCACAUCAUCGAAGGAAGUUUCCUCACUGCUAGUUAAGUUUGGAUCCUGUGAUGCCUUCUCCGGAAAAGAAGCGGAGCUGGCGAUCCACUCGCUCAAUAGCCUACCAAAUAGCUCUGCGUAUUCAAACUUGACCUUCUCCGUGUUGAGCAAAUUAUUGAGAUUGAGCUCCCACUGACGCAGGAUUGUCUCGCUGAUGCUUGGGUCAUGCUGGGCCUGCACUAGAAAUUCCUUGACGUUGUCGAGGUAAGUUCCAGAAGAUGAUGACGAGGUCUUAUCCGUGCUUUGCCAGGAAUUGAUUCCAUCCAGAAGCAUCUGAACUCUUUCGCGUGCACUCUUGGCAUCGGCGACCGAGGCUACAAUCUUUUCACUGUGGAUUUUGAAGUCAGCGU
rnacentral:lncRNA from 1 species